rnacentral:rRNA from 1 species
UACGUAGGUGGCAAGCGUUAUCCGGAAUUAUUGGGCGUAAAGAGCGCGCAGGCGGAGAGUUAAGUCCGACGUGAAAGCCCCCGGCUCAACCGGGGAGGGUCGUCGGAAACUGAUUGUCUUGAAUGCAGAAGAGGGUAGUGGAAUUCCAUGUGUAGCGGUGAAAUGCGUAGAGAUAUGGAGGAACACCAGUGGCGAAGGCGGCUACCUGGUCUGUGAUUGACGCUGAGGCGCGAAAGCGUGGGGAGCAAACAGG